UAAAAGAGAAAUCUGGGUUUUCAUGUCCAACAUUUGAUUGUUAGUCUUAUAUGAAAUUUUUUUAUAAUUAGUAUUUUCAUUGUUGUUAGAUGAUAAAACAUGAUUAAUACUUUAUGCAAGACUUGUCUUUUUAAUUUUUUUUAUAUUUUUUUUAAAUAAGACGGACAAUCAAACAUUAGAUAUGGGAACUCAGGGUUUGUCUUUUU
rfam:Oryza meridionalis cultivar OR44 (W2112) chromosome 4, whole genome shotgun sequence.